AUACUUACCUGGACGAGGUCUAUUGUUGAUCAUGAAGACACAUGGCCUUUGGCAAUAACUUCCAUUACACAUUGGAGGGAUACUACUUUAAGGUCUGUCAAACAUGGCAGAGCCUACGUCAUAAUUUGUGGUAGUGGGACUUGCGUUCGCGCAAGUUCUUC
rfam:Phaseolus vulgaris cultivar G19833 chromosome 6, whole genome shotgun sequence.